UACGAAGGGUGCAAGCGUUAAUCGGAAUUAUUGGGCGUAAAGAGCGCGCAGGUGGUUGAUUAAGUCUGAUGUGAAAGCCCACGGCUUAACCGUGGAGGGUCAUUGGAAACUGGUCGACUUGAGUGCAGAAGAGGGAAGUGGAAUUCCAUGUGUAGCGGUGAAAUGCGUAGAGAUAUGGAGGAACACCAGUGGCGAAGGCGGCUUCCUGGUCUGUAACUGACACUGAGGCGCGAAAGCGUGGGGAGCAAACAGGAUUAGAUA
rnacentral:rRNA from 1 species